AGUAUUCAUAAAAUAAAACAUUUGCUCAAUGAAAUCUGUGCUCAAGUGAUCAUAAAGUGCCCACUUGCUGGUUUGAUUCGAAUUUACAUGAAUAAUUGAAUUAAUUGUUUAUGUGGUAUAUUGUUCAUGGUCACCUUUUUUUUUUUUUUUUUUUAAAUGUAAUGCUUGUAUGAAAUAAACAAAUUCCUCUAGAAUAUAGGCUAUUCGAUGUUAUUUGAUGAAUGUGAUAGAGAAAAAGAUGGAACUUGGUAGGCCAAAUGAAGUGUGAGGUGAUGACGGCACGAGAGCACAGAAUGACAAACAUUGUUAAGGUGUGCUGACGGUCUGAAGCGCUCGUGAGAGCUGCGGAGUUUGUUGGACGGAGAGCAGAGGAGGAGGAGGAGGAGGAUGAGGAGGAGGAGGAGGAGGAGAGGCUGCCGUGUAGAGGAGAAGAAAAAGCGGAAUCAAAACCUGCAGCGCACCGGUGUCACGUCUCAUUUUAGAACCGUGCUCAUCAAAUACUUCAUCACUGGCCCGCUCGGUUUCACAGCAGACUCUGGUUGACCUCAUCGGGUGACCUUAACCAAUCACAGAUCAAAGUCAUCAGGUUCCUGGCUGCUCGGGUUAAUCAGAGGACCACCCCGAAGAGCCAAUCAGAUAGAUCGUUUGUCUCGGCCGUGGGCAGCACGGAGCAGUGAAGCUGAUGUGUCUGCCUCUGGCCUUCGCCUCAUGUGACUGCCUCCUGUCCUGCCUGACACGUUAGCAUGCAGCCAGCCUAUCAGUCACUCAGGCGGCUCUAGCUGCUGGUGCUUGUGGCUCUGGAGGUGAUGAUACAUGACAAUCAUUUAAAGGUAACAAAGCUUAGCUAUUCUGCAUUAUUAAAGCCAGCGAUAUUAGAAGGGAUUAAGUUUCAGCAGGUCUAAGUGAUUUUCAUGAAGUUACUUGUAUCAUUUAUCAAAUUAAACGUGGAAUUUGCCAUUACUUUUAAAACGUUUUAUAACACUGUUGCUGUAUCAUCUUUAUUUUUUCAUUAAAAUGG